CCCUAUGGGGUGCAGCAGGCAUUGUUGCCAGUGGUUGGUACAUCGUUCCGGGAUUUGAAUCGUUGCCUUCAGGUGAGAGGUAAAUCUGCUGGCUUAAGAGUGAUCCAGACUUCAGGAAAAACAGGAUAAUUAUCAGGAUGGCUGAUAGUUGAAAUUUCAUUUGCAUAAGUGGAUUAAAAUGAAAAGUUAAAGCUAUAUAGUGCAAAAUCCAAAAAAUAAGUUCAGAUUGCGGACCAUUGAUAAUAUUGCUUCGCUUCGCUCUAUCACAACUUGAUUAUUAAUGGCCCUUUCUUAUUCCACUUCACCUCAACCUUCGAAAUAUACCAGGUCUUUCCCUUGUCGUUAUUACCCUGGAAAAAGAGGUAUGUCUUACCGUUAGUAUCCUUAAAUAUAUGCGGAUGCCCCGAUUCGCUGGAAUUCCAUUCACCCUGAUUACCGUUCUUAAGGAAGGGAGAGC
rnacentral:rRNA from 1 species